rnacentral:rRNA from 1 species
AGGGAGGCAGCAGUGAGGAAUUUUGCACAAUGGCCGAAAGGCUGAUGCAGCAACGCCGCGUGAGUGAAGAAGGCCUUCGGGUUGUAAAGCUCUGUUGCCCGUGACGAAGUGCGCUUUCAGGAAAUGGGAAGCGUUUGACGGUAGCGGGAGAGGAAGCUCCGGCUAACUACGUGCCAGCAGCCGCGGUAAUACGUAGGGAGCGAGCGUUGUCCGGAUUUAUUGGGCGUAAAGGGCGUGUAGGCGGCCAUUUAAGUCGGGGGUGAAAACCCGGGGCUCAACCCCGGGACUGCCUUCGAUACUGGAUGGCUUGAGUACUCUAGAGGGCAGUGGAAUUCCCGGUGUAGCAGUGAAAUGCGUAGAGAUCGGGAGGAACACCAGUGGCGAAGGCGACUGCCUGGGGAGAAACUGACGCUGAGGCGCGAAAGCUGGGGGAGCAAACGGGAUUAGAUACCCCGGUAGU